rnacentral:rRNA from 1 species
GCCUGGCCCUAAAUCUUGAUGCUCGAUCUUACCGGAGCAUCCGCCCGAGAACUACGAGCACUAACGCUUAAAACUCUAAGGACUUGGCGGUGCUCCAAACCCACCUAGAGGAGCCUGUUCUGUAAUCGAUAAUCCACGCUACACCUUACCAUUCCUUGCUCAAAACAGCCUAUAUACCGCCGUCGCCAGCCCACCCCCCAUGAAGGUUCAACAGUGGACGCAAUAGCCUUACCCGCUAGCAAGACAGGUCAAGGUAUAGCCCAUGGAAUGGGAGCAAUGGGCUACAUUUUCUAGUCUAGAACAUACGGCAAAGGUGCAUGAAACUGCCCCUGGAAGGAGGAUUUAGCAGUAAAGAGAGACAAGCGAGCCCUCUUUAAGCCGGCUCUGGAGCACGU